UCUUGUAAUUGGAAUGAUGGGAAUUUAAACCUCUUCCAGAGUAUCAAUUGGAGGGCAAGUCUGGGGCCAGCAGCCGCGGUAAUUCCAGCUCCAAUAGCGUAUAUUAAAAUUGUUGCAGUUAAAAAGCUCGUAGUUGAAUUUCUGCUGCAUUGCUUGUGUCCCUCUGGGGUCUGUGCAUGUGGCUUUUUUCGGACGGAGUUUCUUUGUCUGAAUGUUUACUUUGAGAAAAUUAGAGUGCUCAAAGCAGGCUUUCGCCUUGAAUAGUUUAGCAUGGAAUAAUAAAGUAGGACUUUGGUUCUAUUUUGUUGGUUUUAGGUACCAAAGUAAUGGUUAAUAGGAACAGUUGGGGGCAUUCGUAUUUAACUGUCAGAGGUGAGAUUCUUAGAUUUGUUAAAGACGA
rnacentral:rRNA from 1 species